rnacentral:rRNA from 1 species
UGAGGAAUAUUGGACAAUGGGCGCAAGCCUGAUCCAGCCAUGCCGCGUGCAGGAUGACGGUCCUAUGGAUUGUAAACUGCUUUUAUACGAGAAGAAACACUCCUUCGUGAAGGAGCUUGACGGUAUCGUAAGAAUAAGGAUCGGCUAACUCCGUGCCAGCAGCCGCGGUAAUACGGAGGAUCCAAGCGUUAUCCGGAAUCAUUGGGUUUAAAGGGUCCGUAGGCGGUUUAGUAAGUCAGUGGUGAAAGCCCAUCGCUCAACGGUGGAACGGCCAUUGAUACUGCUAGACUUGAAUUAUUAGGAAGUAACUAGAAUAUGUAGUGUAGCGGUGAAAUGCUUAGAGAUUACAUGGAAUACCAAUUGCGAAGGCAGGUUACUACUAAUAUAUUGACGCUGAUGGACGAAAGCGUGGGUAGCGAACAGGAUUAGAUACCCUGGUAGUCCACGCCGUAAACGAUGGAUACUAGCUGUUGGGAGCAAUCUCAGUGGCUAAGCGAAAGUGAUAAGUAUCCCACCUGGGGAGUACGGAACGCAAGUUUUG